GUGAGAAGCUUGAGUUCACCAGACUCAGCCCCAGAAAUGGGAGCUCCGUUCGAGAGGUCAAAACACCUGCGGUUGACGCAUCAGACCGCUGCUCUGUUGCCUGGGUUUAAGAAGGGCUGAGGGAAGGCCCGGUGAUCCAGGCGUAAAAAGCCUCUUGAACGUUGUCGAGAUGAAGACGGAUUCUCCUGGUGGCCACAGCCA
rnacentral:sRNA from 1 species